rnacentral:rRNA from 1 species
GAUAAACGCUGGCGGCGUGCCUAAUGCAUGCAAGUCGCACGGAGUGCCUCUUCGGGGGCGCUGAGUGGCGAACGGGUGAGGAACGCGUGGAGAACCUACCCGGCGUGGGGGAUACCCGCCAGAAAUGGUGGCUAAUACCGCGUACGGUCCAGGGGCGAGAGGCCAUCUGGAAGAAAGCAGUGAUGCGCGCGUGGGAGGGGUCUGCGCCCGAUUAGCUAGUUGGCGGGGUAACGGCCCACCAAGGCGGUGAUCGGUAGCUGGUCUGAGAGGAUGGGUCAGCCACGACGGGGACUGAGACACCGGCCCCGACUCCUACGGGAGGCAGCAGCAAGGAAUUUUCCGCAA